rnacentral:tRNA from 1 species
GGGGAGAUACCAGAGUGGCCAAAUGGGAAGGACUGUAAAUCCUUUGCGAAAGCUUCGAAGGUUCGAAUCCUUCUCUCCCCA